CCCGUUUCGAUUCCGCCGACCGCCCCACGCUUUCCUCCCCGCGAACCCCUCGACUCCGACUCCGCCUCCGCCGCCGCCGGUUCCGAUGCCGCCGCCCACGCGAGGCCGUGGCCGCGGGCGCGGACGCGGGAGGCCAAGGAAGGACCCCAUCGCCGAGGACUACGCGCACGCCACCGAGGAAAUUGGCAAUGGAAAUCUCAUGGAGAAGGCGCAUGAAAGUGGCGACAAAAACCUCACGGAGAAGGUGCAGGAAAGUGACGAGGAAAACCUCAUGGAGAAGGUGCUGCAGCCUUCUGUGGAGGAGAAUGAAGGGCCAGCGGAGGUCUCAAAAACCACCAAAAGACGCAGGGGGGAUCCUGUUGCGGACCCCUCUUCUCUUGAGUCUAGUGGUAACAUACAACUUCGGGAGAGGCAGAAUGCUUCAGCGGAUCAGGAGCAGGGGCCUAAGAAGAGAAGUAAGGCUGAGGAUUCAAACAUGUGCCAUCAGUGCCAGAGGAAUGAUAACGGAAGAGUUGUACGGUGCCAAGGCUGUGUCAAAGAAAAGAGAAAAUACAGAUACUGUGUGAAGUGCAUUAAUCGCUGGUAUCCACAUUUAUCAGAGGACGAUUUUGCGAACAAUUGCCCAGUUUGUCAAAAAAAUUGCAAUUGUAAGGCCUGUCUGCGGGGAGACAUAACCCGAACCAACGCCAAAGUUGUCAAAAAGAAAGGCCGAACCAAAAAGAAAAACCGAACCAACUCCAAGGACAAAAAGAAGUCUCAGAUAAUAAAUACUGAAGGAUAUAGUGUAUCUGAACAAGAUAAAAUUCAAUUCUCUAUGCGUAUCGUGCGCUUUUUGCUCCCUUGGCUGAAAGAAUUCCACCAAGAGCAGAUGCAAGAGAAAAGUGCUGAGGCUGCAACUAAAGUAGGGAUUGAUGCAGGCAAACUAGAGGUCCCUCUAACCAUUUGUGGAAAAAAUGAACGGAUAUACUGUGACAACUGCAGGACAUCUAUUGUUGACUUCCACAGAACCUGCAAUAAAUGUAACUAUGAUCUCUGCCUCCGGUGCUGCCGGGAGCUUCGUCGAGGCCUUGUUCCUGGUAAUGGUGUCAAGGUUGAUGGUGGAGGCAAGGAAGAUUUGCAAUUGGGAGUUAGUCAUGAUAAAAUUGUAAGUAAAGGGCCAUCUGAUGGACAGAAUGGCAUGUUAAUAGAUAGUGUAGUUCCUGCUGACAAGAGCACUUCUAGCUUGAGAGAGUGGAGUGUGAAUAACGAUGGAACCAUACCUUGCCCACCAAAUGCAUUUGGUGGUUGUGGGAGCUCUCUUCUUGAACUUAAGUGCUUGUUCGAAGAGACGUUUAUUGCUGAAUUACUGGAGAAGGCCAAUUCAGCGGUCAAUAAUGGAAUGGAGGUGAAGAUGGAAGGAUCAAAAUGUUCCUGCUUCACUGAAUCCGGUGACAUAGAUGAUGGUAUAUCGCGGAAAACAGCUUGCAGAGAGAAUUCCUGUGAUAACUACAUAUAUUGCCCAACCGCUACUGAUGUCCAAAAUGGAAGUUUAGAUCAUUUCCAGGAGCAUUGGUUGAAGGGUGAACCUGUAAUUGUCCGUGAUACGCUUGCAUUGACUUCUGGAUUAAGCUGGGAACCGAUGGUUAUGUGGCGCGCCUUACGAGAAAAGAGAGACAAAGUUGAGAGGCUCUCAGUUCUUGCUCUUGAAUGCUUGGGUUGGUGUGAGGUUGAUGUAAAUAUUCAUAUGUUUUUUGCGGGGUAUUCACGUGGGCUUGUUGGUCCAGACGAUUUGCCUCUGUUACUUAAGCUUAAAGAUUGGCCACCACAUAGUUCUUUUGAGGAGCGGCUGCCAAGACAUGGUGCAGAGUUUAUGUCUGCGUUGCCAUUUCGCGAAUACACAGAUCCUAAAUGUGGUCCUCUUAAUCUGGCAGUAAAGCUUCCCAAGGGUGUUAAUAAGCCAGACCUUGGUCCAAAGACUUAUAUUGCAUAUGGUGUUUCCAAAGAGUUGGGAAUUGGUGAUUCUGUCACCAAGCUUCACUGCGAUAUGUCUGAUGCGGUGAAUAUCCUCACACAUACUGAUGAAAUAAAACUCAAAGCAAAAAGGAUUGCAGCAGUGGAAAAGAAGAAGCAGUGUUUAGAAAUGAAGAGUCUAUCUACCAAGGAAGCAAGUGGUGACCUUCAAUGGCAUGCAGAUUUUGCUAGUAUUCCAGCAGUUCUCAGUGAAUCUAACAAGGAGCCAAGGCCUGAAGAGUUUGGAAAUGAGUUGGGCAUUAAACAGCCAGUACAACAUGUUGCUUCUGAGGAGCAGGAAGGAGUUCAAGAUGAUGCCAAGGCUGAUGCAAAUGAUAUGAAUGUUUCUUUUGAUAAGGGGAAAUCAGAAGAUUCUUUUGGCACAAUUAAUGGUAGAAAAAAUGCUGGUGAUGGUGUCAACAGUGGAGAUAAAAUUGAAUCUCCUAGUGGUUUAGCAGAAAGAACAUUGGCUAAACCUACCACUAAGGGAUGCAGUAAGCAGCGUGGCCGUGAUUCUUCUAAUGCAAGAGGGAACAGGAAUAAAAGAACAGAAGAGGAAAAUGUGCCUGGAUUGAUUACCGUGGCUCCUGAGUCAGAAGAUGAGACCCCAUUUGUAGAUGGAAACCAAGCAGAGGGUGGUGCAUUGUGGGAUAUUUUCCGACGGGAAGAUGUGAGCAAACUACAUGAUUAUCUAAUGAAACAUGCAGACGAGUUUAGGCAUUGCAACUUUGAGACAGUGAAGCAGGUUACUCAUCCUAUACAUGAUCAGUGUUUUUAUCUAACAAAUGAGCACAAGAGAAAGCUUAAGGAAGAAUAUGGAAUUGAGCCUUGGACAUUUGAACAGAAGCUAGGUGAGGCAGUAUUUAUUCCAGCAGGAUGUCCCCACCAGGUUAGAAAUUUGAAGUCUUGCAUAAAGGUUGCACUUGACUUUGUUUCUCCGGAGAAUGUGAGAGAGUGCAUCAGGUUAACAGAACAAUUCCGUCUGCUUCCGAAGUGGCAUAGGGUGAAUGAAGAUAAAUUGGAGGUUAAGAAGAUAGCUCUUCAUGCACUCAAUCAAGCGAUUAAAGAUAUCUCUGAUGAAUCAUCUAAUAGCAACGAAAGCAGCCCAAAUAAUGACGUCAAAGAUGAGCCUAGCUCAAGUGAGUCAGCGGAAAUAGAGCAAGGAGAGUGACCAGCGCAAGGCAUGCUGACCUUAUUGAUACUUAUGUGGCUUCAUAUUUAUACAUGUGAACCAGCCUCUCUAAACCCUAGAUCAGGUGGCCAUGGAGAUGGAGGCCAACACCAUGACUAGUGAAGACAGUGGUGCUCUGAUGGCGGGCAUCACAAUAGGGUGAAGGCAUGGUCACAUAGGGUGGCCUCACCUGGCGGUGCACGGGGCCGAUCGUUGGGCGACCUGAGGCGAGGCUAGUUGCGGCAUCCUGAAGGCAGCCAUCUCAGUAGGGUGGAGGCACGCUUGCCCAGGGUGGCCUCACUAUGGUGCUUGGGGCCUGAUCAUGUGGCGACAUGGGUCGCCCUCUUCCCAUGGCAUGGGAGCAUGCAUGUGUCGCUACAAGGGCAGUUGCGGGUGAUAGCUCGAAGUCUUGCUCACUCGGCGACACGGGCCUGAGCCAGGCUUGGGUGAUGGCUUGAGGUAUGCUGGCCCGAUGAUGGAGGUGGGGCUUGUGGCCUGAUGGUGGCCUUAACCUGAGGCACAGGUCGAUCCGCACAUGGUGGCGCACUGGCGUGCUCGCCUGGAGGCCCUGGGUUGGCCUCUCCUAGCAAUGGCGCAUGCGCAACAACAAAAGCAUCAUGAAUGGCUUAAGGCAUAUUUAUUGAAGAAAGAGGUAGAAAAAAUAAGACUCCAAGUCUUAUUUAGACUCCAAGUCCACAUUGUUCAAGGUCAAGAAGUGGCUCAAAUCAGUCUAAGUCAAUUUCCAUAGAGUUUUCUUCGAUCAAUGGACAAGGAUAAAAGGAGGAUGCAAUGAGCACGAUGAGUAAAAGAAGGCUGAGUGUGCUUCUCAUAUGUUUAAUUUUUUGUCCCAUGUAAUGGAUUUGGAUUUGGUGUGUAUGUGAACCAGAAUGAAUAUGAGAACUUAAAUGUGUGUGCACCACAUCAUGUGUUUGAAGCGGUAACUAUGAGGAUUUUAUUCUAAGACUUCUUGUUAUUAGAAACAGUGUAUACAAGUUUUAUUCUCAUAAAAAUCAUUUUCUCAUGAAA